rnacentral:rRNA from 1 species
UACGUAGGGAGCAAGCGUUGUCCGGAAUCAUUGGGCGUAAAGCGCGCGUAGGUGGCUUCGUAAGUCCGUUGUGAAAGUCAAAGGCUCAACCUUUGAAAGCCGAUGGAUACUGCGGAGCUAGAGUACGGAAGAGGCGAGUGGAAUUCCUGGUGUAGCGGUGGAAUGCGCAGAUAUCAGGAGGAACACCAAUAGCGAAGGCAGCUCGCUGGGACGUUACUGACACUGAGGCGCGAAAGCGUGGGGAGCGAACAGGA